UUUUUAGCAUAAGUAUGUCCCAAGCAAUAUUUGUGACGUACUUAUGCUAAAA
rnacentral:pre_miRNA from 1 species